ensembl:rRNA 5S_rRNA 5S ribosomal RNA
GCUUACGGCCAUACCAGCCCAAGAAAACCCGGUCUCGUCUGAUCUCGGAAGCUAAGAAGGCUUGGGCCUGUUUAGUACUUGGAUGGGAGACCUCCUGGGAAUACCAGGUGCUGUAAGCU